rnacentral:lncRNA from 1 species
UCUUGCUCUCUCUCCCUCUCCAUAUAUAUAUCUAUAUAGAGAGAGAUAUAUAUACACAUUUAGUUCUUAUAAAGUCUUUGUUUAAAAAUGAAGCCAUAGCACUUGAAGCUGCUCCAUAUUUAUUUAAUGUAUUUGCGUGCAUGCAAAGAAUAGAUUUGAAUAGAAAGUGCUGUGUUUUAAAAUUCCUUUUCAGUGUGAGAACGUGCUUUAAAUUUUCUGCCUCUAAAAUUAUAUCUUUUGAAGUUGUUAGUCUUCUUGAAUGAAGUUACAAAAUGUAUGCUUUAGUUUUAAAGCUUUAAAAUUAAAGAUAGUAAAGCCUAAAAUGGCAAAAUACCUUUAUUUCUCUUCUCUUUAUUAGCUGAAAACAAUGCAAGUUUUAAAUUUCCUCUCUGGAUACCAAGAAUUUGACCAGGUUUUAACUGCCAUCCUUCCUUGUCCCUGAAACAAAAAAAUUUAGCAGGACUUCUGAAAAUUUAGGCAUCCUUUGAUACGAUAUGCUGUUUUCCCUUCAUAAAUUAUGAAAACACAACCUGUCAUCCCCUUACCUCCCCCCCCCCCCCAAACCUUUAUUGGAACCAAAGCAGAUAGGUGUUCCUAGUGACCUAGUGUUCAGCUGUUCAGAGAAGAAAUGUUGGCUACUAAAGCAUACUCAGAAGAACACAGUAGCUGUAAAAGGAGUAGACGAACCUUCCAAGGCACACAAAAUCAUGUUGUUAUAUUCCUCUUUUUUUCUUAGGGUUCACUACUACAAGGUACUGAGAAUUUUAACCCUAGUCUACCAAAAUGUUUGAGUGGAAUAUCAGCAAAGUCAGCGGCACUGUUUACACCCUGAAAGCUAUACCUAUAUUGCAAAUGACUGGGACUAAAAUACAAGGGAAAUCUCUUUCCAAACCUGAGGAAGUUAAAUACAAAGGACAGUUGUUCACGCGUACCUUGCAGCCUACCUUGGGAUGACUUUAUGCCUUCUAUUGUAAAACUCCGUACUUGUGAGACUUUAAAGAAAUAUUUAUGUUUGCAAGGCCAAACCAUAUUGAGCUACUACUGAAUCUGCUCUGUGGAAGGCAAUUCUGAGAUUGAGAAGCUGGCUGUUCUGAAUGAAUGCACUCUAUAUUUGACUGUCCAAUAAAAUGUACUGAAUGUUGAGCUUGGCUAUUAGU